AUGGAGAAACCAGCAGAGUGCCUGAGUGGUUGUGAGGAGUGAACCUGCAGAUUUCGUCAGCAAUGGGCCAUGUGAUGUGUCGGCUGCUGGUGACCAAGGUCUCCACCACACACCGCAGUGCCUGCACUCCGAGGGCUCCAGAGCUGUGCCGGAGUGGGCAGGGAAGCGGACAGACGAUCAUCGUGAGCACCCAGGGACUGCUGGAGACCCCCAAGGGUGCUGGGUGCACGCGGAGGACAUCAGCUUUGGAGAACCCCACCAUCUGCUUAAGACGCUACCACACCUUCCCUUCCUGAGAUCUGGAGGCUGAUGCUCGAUAAUUCACUGGUAUGUCCACAUCCUGGUCAUCAGCAUAAAUCUCCCCUCCUGGCACGUGUGGUGACAGCUCCUCUGGUCUCCUGCACUUUCUUUGCCGAGUUCCCCAUUAGUGUUGUUUGCACGAAGAAAGGCC